rnacentral:rRNA from 1 species
UACGAAGGGGGCUAGCGUUGUUCGGAAUUACUGGGCGUAAAGCGCACGUAGGCGGAUUUGUAAGUCAGGGGUGAAAUCCCGGGGCUCAACCUCGGAACUGCCUUUGAUACUGCAAGUCUUGAGUCCGGGAAGAGGUGAGUGGAAUUCCUAGUGUAGAGGUGAAAUUCGUAGAUAUUCGCAAGAACACCAGUGGCGAAGGCGACUUACUGGACACAUAUUGACGCUGAGGUGCGAAAGCGUGGGGAGCAAACAGG